rnacentral:rRNA from 1 species
AGUGAACGCUGGCGGUAGGCCUAACACAUGCCAGUCGAACGGCAGCACAGUAAGAGCUUGCUCUUACGGGUGGCGGGUGGCGGACGGGUGAGGAAUACAUCGGAAUCUACUUUUUCGUGGGGGAUAACGUAGGGAAACUUACGCUAAUACCGCAUACGACCUACGGGUGAAAGCAGGGGAUCUUCGGACCUUGCGCGAUUGAAUGAGCCGAUGUCGGAUUAGCUAGUUGGCGGGGUAAAGGCCCACCAAGGCGACGAUCCGUAGCUGGUCUGAGAGGAUGAUCAGCCACACUGGAACUGAGACACGGUCCAGACUCCUACGGGAGGCAGCAGUGGGGAAUAUUGGACAAUGGGCGCAAGCCUGAUCCAGCCAUACCGCGUGGGUGAAGAAGGCCUUCGGGUUGUAAAGCCCUUUUGUUGGGAAAGAAAAGCAGCAGGUUAAUACCCCGCUGUUCUGACGGUACCCAAAGAAUAAGCACCGGCUAACUUCGUG